rnacentral:rRNA from 1 species
UACAGAGGUCCCAAGCGUUGUUCGGAUUCAUUGGGCGUAAAGGGUGCGUAGGCGGCAGGGUAAGUUGGAUGUGAAAUCCUGGGGGCUUAACCUCAGAAUUGCAUUCAAUACUGCCUUGCUAGAGAGCUGUAGAGGAGACUGGAAUUUACGGUGUAGCAGUGAAAUGCGUAGAUAUCGUAAGGAACGCCAGUGGCGAAAGCGAGUCUCUGGGGCAGCAUCUGACGCUGAGGCACGAAGGCCAGGGGGAGCAAAACGGGG